rnacentral:rRNA from 1 species
GAGUUUGAUCCUGGCUCAGGAUGAACGCUGGCGGUAUGCUUUACACAUGCAAGUCGUACGAAAGUUUUAACUUUAAGUGGCGGACGGGUGAGUAACACGUGAGAAUUUACCUUUAGGAGGGGGAUAACAAUUGGAAACAAAUGCUAAUACCCCAUAUGCUAUAUAGUGAAAAAAUAUUUUUGCCUGAAAAAAAGCUCGCGGCUGAUUAGCUUGUUGGUAAGGUAAUGGCUUACCAAGGCGAUGAUCAGUAUCUGGUUUUAGAGGAUGAUCAGACACACUGGAACUGAGACACGGUCCAGACUUCUACGGAAGGCAGCAGUGGGGAAUUUUCCGCAAUGGGCGAGAGCCUGACGGAGCAAUACCGCGUGAGGGAUGACGGCCCAUGGGUUGUAAACCUCUUUUUUUAGGGAUGAAUAAAUGACGUGUACCUGAAGAAUAAGCAUCGGCUAACUCUGUGCCAGCAGCCGCGGUAAUACAGGGGAUGCGAGCGUUAUCCGGAUUGAUUGGGCGUAAAGCGUUCGUAGGCGGUUUUUUAAGUCUGGUGUUAAAUUCCUAAGCUUAGCUUGGGUUCAGCGCGAGAAACUGGGAAGCUUGAGUUUGGUAGAGGCAAUAGGAACUCCCGGUGUAGCAGUGAAAUGCGUAGAGCUUGGGAAGAACACCAAAGGCGAAAGCAUAUUGCUGGGCCACGACUGACGCUAAGGGACGAAAGCUAAGGGAGCAAAUGGGAUUAGAUACCCCAGUAGUCUUAGCUGUAAACUAUGGAAACUAAGUCUUUUUUUAUUACUUUCUUUUCAAUCAAAGUGGAAUGCGAAGCUAAUAAGAGGGGGUUGAAGCUAACGCGUUAAGUUUCCCGCCUGGGAAGUACGCUCGCAAGAGUAAAACUCAAAGGAAUUGACGGGGGCCCGCACAAGCGGUGGAGCAUGUGGUUUAAUUCGAUGCAACGCGAAAAACCUUACCAGAAUUUGACAGAUCACUUAUCAUAUUAGGUAUUAGCGAAAGCUGUUUUAGUAAACAGGUGGUGCAUGGCCGUCGUCAGCUCGUGUCGUGAGAUGUUGGGUUAAGUCCCGCAACGAGCGCAACCCUUCUUUUUUGUUGCUACUAUGGAUCAAAAAAUACUGCCAAUAACAAAUUGGAGGAAGGUAAGGAUGACGUCAGGUCAGCAUGCCCCUUAUAUUCUGGGCAACGCACGUGCUACAAUGGCCAGAUCAAAACAAAACUUUUCUGUGAAGCAAGGUUAAUCGCCAAAUCUGAUCGUAGUUCAGAUUUGUCCCUGCAACUCGAGACAAUGAAGUUGGAAUCGCUAGUAAUCGCUGGUCAGCUAUACAGCGGUGAAUAUGUUCUCGGGCCUUGUACACACCGCCCGUCACACCAUGGAAACUGGUUAUGUUCGAAGCCACUAAUUUAACUUUUUAAAGGGAAGGGUGUCGAAAGCAGGGCUGGUAACUGGGGUGAAGUCGUAACAAGGUAACC